rnacentral:lncRNA from 1 species
GAAGUGAAAGGAGAAAAAAAACCUAAAAACAAUCGAAACAAGAAGCAUCUCUUCAGUGACACAGACACAGACUACAGAGGUGAUGAGAGCAAGACCGACAUCAGUUGGCUACAAGAAUCAAAUAGGAAAUCUAAACCACAGUUAAUUGAUUACUGUAGAAGUAAAAACUUAGGGAAAUCAAUAAGCACAGAAAAAAAUAAAUUCUCUGGACCUGAAUGCCAGAUGGAUUCAUCUAAAGGAGAAAAUACAAAAAAGAAAAAGAUAACCAAAUGUAAAAAACCAAGUCCUGGAACUGAUGAAAUGAUGGAACAAACCACCAGACCAAAACGAUCUCGAAGAGCUGUCUUAGCAAAAAAUUACAAGGAACCUUCAAGUUCAGAGUCAGAAGGGAAGUCUUCAGCAUGCACCUCUAAGAAAGAGAAAACAAAAGCACAGGUAAAUGGUUG